rnacentral:rRNA from 1 species
GAUGAACGCUGGCGGCGUGCCUAAUACAUGCAAGUCGAGCGAACAGACGAGGAGCUUGCUCCUCUGACGUUAGCGGCGGACGGGUGAGUAACACGUGGAUAACCUACCUAUAAGUCUGGGAUAACUUCGGGAAACCGGAGAUAAUACCGGAUAAUAUAUUGAACCGCAUGGUUCAAUAGUGAAAGACGGCUUUGCUGUCACUUAUAGCUGGAUCCGCGCCGCAUUAGCUAGUUGGUAAGGUAACGGCUUACCAAGGCGACGAUGCGUAGCCGACCUGAGAGGGUGAUCGGCCACACUGGAACUGAGACACGGUCCAGACUCCUACGGGAGGCAGCAGUAGGGAAUCUUCCGCAAUGGGCGAAAGCCUGACGGAGCAACGCCGCGUGAGUGAUGAAGGUCUUCGGAUCGUAAAACUCUGUUAUUAGGGAAGAACAAAUGUGUAAGUAACUAUGCACGUCUUGACGGUACCUAAUCAGAAAGCCACGGCUAACUACGUG